rnacentral:rRNA from 1 species
GACGAACGCUGGCGGCGUGCUUAACACAUGCAAGUCGAACGGAAAGGCCCUGCUUUUGUGGGGUGCUCGAGUGGCGAACGGGUGAGUAACACGUGAGUAACCUGCCCUUGACUUUGGGAUAACUUCAGGAAACUGGGGCUAAUACCGGAUAGGAGCUCCUGCUGCAUGGUGGGGGUUGGAAAGUUUCGGCGGUUGGGGAUGGACUCGCGGCUUAUCAGCUUGUUGGUGGGGUAGUGGCUUACCAAGGCUUUGACGGGUAGCCGGCCUGAGGGGGUGACCGGCCACAUUGGGACUGAGAUACGGCCCGGACUCCUACGGGAGGCAGAAGUGGGGAAUAUUGCACAAUGGGCGGAAGCCUGAUGCAGCAACGCCGCGUGCGGGAUGACGGCCUUCGGGUUGUAAACCGCUUUCGCCUGUGACGAAGCGUGAGUGACGGUAAUGGGUAAAGAAGCACCGGCUAACUACGUG